UCUUUUCUCUUUCUUCUUUCACUUUCACUUUCUCUUUCUCCAUCCAACAACAACAACA
rnacentral:ribozyme from 1 species